rnacentral:rRNA from 1 species
ACCCGCUGAACUUAAGCAUAUCAAUAAGCGGAGGAAAAGAAACCAACAGGGAUUGCCCUAGUAACGGCGAGUGAAGCGGCAACAGCUCAAAUUUGAAAUCUGGCUCUUUUAGAGUCCGAGUUGUAAUUUGCAGAGGGCGCUUUGGCUUUGGCAGCGGUCCAAGUUCCUUGGAACAGGACGUCACAGAGGGUGAGAAUCCCGUACGUGGUCGCUGGCUAUUGCCGUGUAAAGCCCCUUCGACGAGUCGAGUUGUUUGGGAAUGCAGCUCUAAAUGGGAGGUACAUUUCUUCUAAAGCUAAAUAUUGGCCAGAGACCGAUAGCGCACAAGUAGAGUGAUCGAAAGAUGAAAAACACUUUGGAAAGAGAGUCAAACAGCACGUGAAAUUGUUGAAAGGGAAGCGCUUGCAGCCAGACUUGCUUACAGUUGCUCAUCCGGGCUUUUGCCCGGUGCACUCUUCUGUAGGCAGGCCAGCAUCAGUUUGGGCGGUAGGAUAAAGGUCUCUGUCACGUACCUCUCUUCGGGGAGGCCUUAUAGGGGAGACGACAUACUACCAGCCUGGACUGAGGUCCGCGCAUCUGCUAGGAUGCUGGCGUAAUGGCUGU